UCAAGUUACAAAGGGCUAACGGUGGAUACCUAG
rnacentral:rRNA from 20 species